rnacentral:rRNA from 1 species
AAUACGUUCCCGGGCCUUGUACACACCGCCCGUCACACCACGAAAGUCGGCAACACCCGAAGCCGGUGGCCCAACCCUUUCGGGAGGGAGCCGUCGAAGGUGGGGUUGGCGAUUGGGGUG